AGAGUUUGAUCCUGGCUCAGAUUGAACGCUGGCGGCAUGCCUUACACAUGCAAGUCGAACGGUAACAGGUCUUCGGACGCUGACGAGUGGCGAACGGGUGAGUAAUACAUCGGAACGUGCCCAGUCGUGGGGGAUAACUACUCGAAAGAGUAGCUAAUACCGCAUACGAUCUGAGGAUGAAAGCGGGGGACCUUCGGGCCUCGCGCGAUUGGAGCGGCCGAUGGCAGAUUAUGUACCUGGUGGGAUAAAAGCUUACCAAGCCGACGAUCUGUAGCUGGUCUGAGAGGACGACCAGCCACACUGUCACUGAGACACGGACCAGACUCCUACGGGAGGCAGCAUGGGGGAAUUUUGGACAAUGCGGGAAAGCCUGAUCCAGCAAUGCCGCGUGCAGGAUGAAGGCCUUCGCUGUGUAGACUGCUUUUGUACGGAACGAAAAAGCUUCUCCUAAUACGACAGGCCCAUGACGCGACCGUAAGAAUAAGCACCGGUUAACUACGUGCCAGCACUCGCGGUAAUACUCCCCAUGCAAGCGUUUAUCGGAAUUACUGGGCGUACUGCGUGCGCUAGCGCCUAUGUAACACAGAUGUGAAAUCCCCGGGCUCAACCUGAGAACUGCAUUUGUGACUGCAUGGCUAGAGUACGGUAGCAUGAGCAUGGAAUUCCGCGUGUAGCAGUGAAAUGCGUAUAUAUGCGGAGGAACACCGAUGGCGAUUGCAAUCCCCCUGCACCUGUACUGACGCUCAUGCUACCAAAGUGUGGGCAUGAAACAGCAUUAGAUACCCUGGUAGUCCACGCCCGUAAACGAUGUUCAACUGGUUAGUUGAGGAAUUAGUUUUCUCAGUAACGACAGCUAACGUCGUGAAGAUUGACCGCCUGGGGACGUACUGGCCGCAAGGUUCUGAAACUCAAAGGUAAUUGACUGCGGGAUCUCCGCUACAAGGUCAGCCGUGGCAAUGAUGUGGUUUAAUUCGAUGCAACGCGAAAAACCUUACCCACCUUUGACAUGGCAGGAAGUUUCCAGAGAUGGAUUCGUGCUCGAAAGAGAACCUGCACACAGGUGCUGCAUGGCUGUCGUCAGCUCGUGUCGUGAGAUGUUGGGUUAAGUCCCGCAACGAGCGCAACCCUUGUCAUUAGUUGCUACAUUUAGUUGGGCACUCUAAUGAGACUGCCGGUGACAAACCGGAGGAAGGUGGGGAUGACGUCAAGUCCUCAUGGCCCUUACAAGGUGGGCUACACACGUGCUACAAUGGCGACUACAGAGGGCUGCAAUCCCGCGAGGGGGAGCCAAUCCCUAAAAGUCGUCUCAGUUCGGAUUGUUCUCUGCAACUCGAGAGCAUGAAGUUGGAAUCGCUAGUAAUCGCGGAUCAGCAUGCCGCGGUGAAUACGUUCCCGGGUCUUGUACACACCGCCCGUCACACCAUGGGAGCGGGUCUCGCCAGAAGUAGGUAGCCUAACCGCAAGGAGGGCGCUUACCACGGCGGGGUUCGUGACUGGGGUGAAGUCGUAACAAGGUAGCCGUAU
rnacentral:rRNA from 1 species